rnacentral:rRNA from 1 species
UAGUCCACGCCGUAAACGAUGAUCACUCGAUAUUGGCAUUUAUGUCAGUGUCCAAGCGAAAGUAUUAAGUGAUCCACCUGGGGAGUACGAUCGCAAGGUUGAAACUCAAAGGAAUUGACGGGGGCCCGCACAAGCGGUGGAGCAUGUGGUUUAAUUCGAUGAUACGCGAGGAACCUUACCAAGGCUUAAAUGUAAAAUGUUAUUCUUGGAAACAAGAAGUCUCUUCGGAGCGUUUUACAAGGUGCUGCAUGGUUGUCGUCAGCUCGUGCCGUGAGGUGUUGGGUUAAGUCCCUUAACGAGCGCAACCCCUAUCUUUUAGUUGCCAUCAGGUAACGCUGGGGACUCUAAAGAAACUGCCGGCGUAAGCCGUGAGGAAGGUGGGGAUGACGUCAAAUCGUCACGGCCCUUAUGUCUUGGGCUACACACGUGCUACAAUGGUCAGUACAAAGGGCAGCUACCUGGUGACAGGAUGCGAAUCUCUAAAACUGAUCUCAGUUCGGAUUGAAGUCUGCAACUCGA